rnacentral:lncRNA from 1 species
GAGUUGUCAAUCAACGGUGCCUGCUUACACUGAUGAACUACAAGAUUCAGACUUGCUGUAAAGACUUGUGUCUACACACUAGAACUUCUUUCCCAGAUCAAUUUGGAGGCGAUGAAUCAUGAGUGCUGGUGACUAAGCUGCUCUUCUAUCAAUCCAGCAGAUGAAUGAAUAAACUGAGGCUCGGAGAGUUCGAGUAACUUGUCCAACGUGACAUAGCUGGUAUGUGGAAGAUGUGAGAUUUGAACCCGUGUAGUCUACUGUAGAACUAAUGCUCUUCACCACUUUAUACUCACUAUGCCUUAACCAACGCGGUCUCAGGAACCUGGAGCUGAAGAUGACACUGGGGAUUAUUCGAUCCAGCAGCUUCAGUUUAUUCAUGAGAAGGCUGAGUCACCGAGGGGUGAAUUGUGGGGUUCAGCGGCUCCGUUGUUGGCAAAGCUGGAAAUGGCAUCCCAAUCCUCUGGUCCAGAGCCGGUGCUUCUCUACGUCAACGCCAGC